rnacentral:tRNA from 1 species
GCGCCUAUAGCUCAGUUGGUAGAGCAGCGGACUCUUAAUCCGCUUGUCCCAGGUUCGAGCCCUGGUGGGCGUAC